UUUCCUCCCAUCGUGCACCCCGUACCAUAGGUCAAAAGCUUGACUUUUUAGGCGCCGACGACGAGCUUCUGGGCGGCGGAGGCUGGAUCCGUGUGCGUCCAUGCCGGCUUCGCAGCGACGCUUGAUGUGGAGCGGCACUGGAGCAGCGGAGCGGGGCUUUCUUCUUCACCUCACAGCGCCGUCCCCCUCCACGACCACGCAGCCGCAGCAGUGGAGGGGCUGAAUCCCUAGCCAGCGAGCUCAGGGAGCCAUGGGUCCAUGGGGCGACGCCAUGGAAGGGCCACCAACUACAGCAGCGAGGAGAGGAGAAAGGGAGUAGCCUGACGGCCGUCUUCCACCUCCGCCUACGCCCCCAUCCUCCACCUCCACCUCCACCCCCGCCGGAAAAUAGUACAAUGGCCAAGGAAAUAGGCAGGAGGCGCCGCUUCCCGGAUGGACAUGGACAUGCUUCUCCAACUCUGCAUCUUCCUGGGUCGCCAUGGAAGAAAGCAGUAAGAAUCUAAGAAAGCCGAAGCCUUCCAGCACACUGCAGCAAUAAGAAGAGCGCAAGUCAAACUGGGACACAGCUCACACACUACGGUGGACAGAAAGGUAACUACAUUGCUGAAACAGUUUAUGAUGGCAAACCUAGGGCAUGAUGGGCACUG